UGAGGAAUAUUGGUCAAUGGGCGUUAGCCUGAACCAGCCAAGUAGCGUGAAGGAUGAAGGCUCUAUGGGUCGUAAACUUCUUUUAUAUAAGAAUAAAGUGCAGUAUGUAUACUGUUUUGUAUGUAUUAUAUGAAUAAGGAUCGGCUAACUCCGUGCCAGCAGCCGCGGUAAUACGGAGGAUCCGAGCGUUAUCCGGAUUUAUUGGGUUUAAAGGGAGCGUAGGUGGACUGGUAAGUCAGUUGUGAAAGUUUGCGGCUCAACCGUAAAAUUGCAGUUGAUACUGUCAGUCUUGAGUACAGUAGAGGUGGGCGGAAUUCGUGGUGUAGCGGUGAAAUGCUUAGAUAUCACGAAGAACUCCGAUUGCGAAGGCAGCUCACUGGACUGCAACUGACACUGAUGCUCGAAAGUGUGGGUAUCAAACAGG
rnacentral:rRNA from 2 species